rnacentral:rRNA from 1 species
UACGGAGGGUGCAAGCGUUGUUCGGAUUUAUUGGGCGUAAAGAGCGUGUAGGCGGCCUUACAGGUCAGCUGUGAAAACUCGAGGCUCAACCUCGAGACGUCGGUUGAAACCGUAAGGCUAGAGUCCGGAAGAGGAGAGUGGAAUUCCCGGUGUAGCGGUGAAAUGCGCAGAUAUCGGGAAGAACACCCGUGGCGAAGGCGGCUCUCUGGGACGGUACUGACGCUGAGACGCGAAAGCGUGGGGAGCGAACAGG